rnacentral:rRNA from 1 species
UACUAGAGUAGCACUCGCAUAUCAAUAAGCGGAGGAAAAGAAACUAACAAGGAUUCCCCUAGUAACGGCGAGUGAAGCGGGAAGAGCUCAAAUUUGAAAUCUUAAAGGGUUUCCCUUUACGAAUUGUAGUUUAAAGAAGUGUUUUCUGUUGAGGUUUUGGUAAAAGUUCUUUGGAAUAGGACAUCAUAGAGGGUGAGAAUCCCGUAUUUGACCUUUACUUUCAACUUUGUGAUACACUUUCAAAGAGUCGGAUUGUUUGGGAAUGCAGUCCAAAAUGGGUGGUAAAUUUCAUCUAAAGCUAAAUAUUGGCGAGAGACCGAUAGCGAACAAGUACCGUGAGGGAAAGAUGAAAAGAACUUUGAAAAGAGAGUUAAACAGUACGUGAAAUUGUCAAAAGGGAAGCGUUUGACACCAGUGUUGUUUUUCUGAAAAUCAAUUAAAGAACUGUUUAUGCUAAGCUGUUUAGACUUUAUCAGCUAUCUGUUUAGUUUUGAGCUUUUCUUUAAUGCACUUUUCAGCUAACAAGUCAACAUCAAUUUCUUUUGCUGUAAAAAAGCUUGAGGAAGGUGGCUUGAGAUUCGUCUUAAGUGUUUAUAGCCUCUUGCCUAUGCAGUCGGAGAGAUUGAGGUCUGCAGCGUAGAUCCUUCGGGGCUAAAUGCAUUUGUGCUAAGUUAUAGCAUUUUAUAGACAACUUGUUGACUAUGAUUUGUCUUGUAGCUUACUCGCUUAUGUUAUUUUACCUACGCUUAGGAUGUUGAACUCUAUCACACACAG